UAGUAAGAAGUAAAACUUUACAUUUAAUUUCGACUUAAAAUUUUGGGCAAUACCCCUUACUAA
rnacentral:tRNA from 1 species